UUCCGACCUGCACGAAUGGUGUAACCAUGGCCACGCUGUCUCCACCCGAGACUCAGUGAAAUUGAAAUCGCAGUGAAGAUGCUGUGUACCCGCACCUAGACGGAAAGACCCCGUGAACCUUUACUACAGCUUGGCACUGAACAUUGAACCUACAUGUGUAGGAUAGGUGGGAGGCUUUGAAGCACAGUCGCUAGAUUGUGUGGAGCCGUCCUUGAAAUACCACCCUUGUAUGUUUGAUGUUCUAACAUUGGCCCCUUAUCG
rnacentral:rRNA from 1 species